rnacentral:lncRNA from 1 species
AAACAAACAGGAAUUUAUUUUUCUCACGUGAGAAAUCUAAGGUGCUGUUCAAUGGCUGAGGCAUGCCCGGCUGAAACUGCUGUCAGUCUCUUUCCUCAUGGUCACAAGAUGGCUGCCUUAGCUCCUGCCAUUAGAUCCAUGUUCAAAGCAAGGAGAAAGAGGAAAGGGGAAGGGUUGCACCAGCUGAGUCCCUCUCUUCCAGGAGCGUUCUUCAAACUCCAGGCAGGCCUCUAAAAUUAUCUCCAGGCUUCUGGUGAGGGUUACAGGGCAACUUCCUUGUCUGUCCAGUGUGAGGGCAGCCAACUGGGUCUCAGGCCUCUAGAAUGUUCCACCUUCCUUGAUCCCUGUCCAUCUCACUCCCCUGAUGUGGACUUCCUGAUGCUUCCUGGGCUGGCGUUGACUCUUCUGCCUCGCCAUGGCUGCUGCCGUCUUGCUGUUGCCCCAGGCUCCCUCAGUGUGGGCUGCACAUGGAGACUUCCUUCCAGGGAGCACAGCACGGAAACAGAGAAAAAAGCAACUUUGUAAACAAGAAACCUGACCAAGGCAGACUCACCCGCGCAGGCGCUGAGUCAUGUUGACAGCAGGUGCCCUUGCUAGGAUGUGAUGGGCAGGGCGCUUACCUCUGCGGGCAUCCUCCCCCAACAAACAAUCCCGGUCUAACCAGGAGAAAAACACCUGUUUUUUCCGACAGAGGGACAUGCUAUAGAAUGCCUGACUGUACUGCCCCGAACUGUCAAGGCCAUCCAAAACAUGGAAAGUCUGAGAAACUGUCACAGCCAAGAGAAGAGCCUAAGGGGAAGACUAAAUGCGAUGGGGAGCCCUGCACGGGAUCCUGGGGCCACUGGGUAAAAUGGGGAAGCCUGAAUGAGGCAUGGACUUCAGUUACACUGCAUCGGCCUCGGCUGGCUCAACCGCACCACAGUAAGAGAAGACAUUAACACCAGGGGAAACUAGGUGUGGCGUCUAUGGGAACUCUCUGUACCAUCGCUGCAACUUUUCUGUAAAUCUAAAAGUGCUCUAAAAUAAGAAGUUUAUCUAAACAUAAGUGAAAGGCAGCUGAAAACUCUGAAUGCAGCACACAGAAACAGGUCCAGCACAGCAAGGAGACGGAAACUAUGGAAAAGAGACCCCACGUCGAGGAGAGAAGGAAAAUGCUCUCCCCGCAUCGACCAGGAUUCCCGAAUGGGGGAACUCAGAGGUCUGGGGAGAGUAUGUAUUUGAAAAAACGAUGGCUAAGAACUGUCCAGCCAGACUCGAUUGAAAAUAUAAAUUCUCCGGCCGGGCACGGUGGCUCACGCCUGUAAUCCCAGCACUUUGGGAGGCCGAGGUGGGCGGAUCACGAGGUCAGGAGAUCGAGAACAUCCUGGC